rnacentral:misc_RNA from 1 species
UUAAACGAUUUAAAUGCCACUCAUACGAUACAGUUAAAGAAUUUAAUAAGGCUACUGGCGGGCACGGGCUAGAGAUAAGUAAACCUCCGGCGGCCCUUAAAAAAGGGCGGGCCCACCAAAGCAACAUGGAAUGAUAAACAAGGGGUUGGAAGUCUGGGCCAGAACGACCCUAACUCGAUAAUGAUCCUUCCGCAGGUUCACCUACGGAAA